CCAUCCAACCACAGCUCCGCACGCACUCCGGGUACAGUUGCUCGGGGUAGCCCUUUGGCCUCGUGCACCCACACCGUCAGCCACAUCUCUUGCCGCUCCACGUUGUCCUACAUACAAGAGUGAGGGUCUUGGAAAACCGGAGGCGAUUGGACCGUGACUCCUUAGGGGGUGCAGAGAGGACCCGACGAAACAGAGAUCUGGGGGCUGGCUGGCUGUUCACCAUGGGCUCCUGAUGGCUCAGGGCCCUUCCCCAGCCUGCAAAGCGGCCCCAGCGGAACCCUCCAGCAGCCUUUUCCCCACUGCCUCCAGUGUGCCAGCGGUAGGAUGUCAGCGGAGAGGGCAGCGAGGGCUGCGUUUGGGAAUCUUCUUCACUCUGCAACGGUCAUCUUUAGCUACAUAGUGUGUUCAAGGCUAGCUUGGGCUACAAGAGGAUGACAUGAACUCCUGAUUUUUUUGCUUUCUACCCCUGAGCCCUGAAAUGAAAGUGCUGGAGAUGAAACCCAGGGCUCCCGGUAUACUGGACAAGUGCUGUCACUGAGCCACAGUUUCCGGUUAUGUUUUUCAAUGUAAUUUUUUUAAGGAAAUGGGGUCCAAUCUGCUCAUUCUGUGACCAACAGUCCCAAUGUGCCUUGAGCUAACACUUCUGAGAGUGGCCCUCUACCAGUGACCCAGGGAUUCCAGUGGAGAGAAUUACUGUUUGAUUACAGUUUGAUGCUGUCUUCCAGUAGCUGAGUUCUGCUUGCCUGCAGUGGAAACCGCCUUGACUGCUGCUCUGGCUGCUUUCCCCCCAGGUUUUGCCUUCUUACUCCCCAAUAGGGAAGUUCUAGGGUUGCCUCCAAAUCACCAUUUUGUACUGAAAUUAAUUUAUUUGUUUUUGUUUUCUCGAUUCUGUAGCACAGGUUAACCUCUAGCCUUGGUGGCAAACAAAACGCAAGGGUCCAUUUUCAGUACAAAAGUCCCUUAGAUGGGCUUAGGUUUCAGGUAAGCAAAAGGAAGGCAUUGGCUUCUUUGCCCUAACAGCUUGUGCCUUCUUCUUGUCUGGCCUUUUAGUUAACCUUCUUUCCAAACCAAGGUUAUCUUUACAGGAUGAGAGGGUACAGGUAGCAUCAUGACCAAGAGCAAACAUUGAAAAAAGGGGGAGAUGGAUGGAUAAUGGAACUCAGGCAACAUGCAGCAAAGCAGGGGAAAGGAAUUUUGAUUAGGACCAUUAAAAAAAAUAAAAAAGGACAGUUUUUUCCCAAUGGGGCGCCAUUGCCAGUUUUGUUGGCAUUUCACCUUACAAGGUCGUAAAAUAAACUGCCUCAAUUUUUGUCA
rnacentral:lncRNA from 1 species